UGGGCUAUAGCCAAGUGGUAAGGCACCAGGUUUUGAUCCUGGUAUGCGCUGGUUCGAUCCCAGCUAGCCCAA
rfam:Lactobacillus lindneri DSM 20690 = JCM 11027 strain DSM 20690 NODE_49, whole genome shotgun sequence.